GGGAAUGCAGCAGUGAACAAAAUGAACUAAUAUUCCUGUCUUCAUGGAACUUAACAUUGUACAUAAACUAUAAAACAUAUGUGAUGAUAAAUGUUGUAAAGAAAAGCUGAGAAGGGCAGGUUCAAGCGAGUCUCCUGCCUCAGCCUCCUGAGUAGCUGGGACUACACGUGUGUGCCACCAUGCCUGGGUAUUUCCUAUAUCUUCCUGUCUUUUCCAUGGCCAAAAAUGAUCAAGUAAAGAACAUUAAAGAAGAAAUAAAUUACUACAUAUUAAAAAAUACAUACUGUAAGAUGUUCUUUGUACAAAAAUGUGACAACUUCAAUAAGAGUAACUUGGACAACCUGAGGCAUUAAUUGAGGAUCAAUAUGAUGACUUUACAUUGAGAAUCACAUAUACCCUCUGAAUAAAUUUAAAAAAUGAAAUUUUUUAAUUUUCAUUAAAAAUUAAAUUUUUUUGAGUGAUGAAAAUACUCAAUCACAUUAUUUUCAAAUUGUUGAUAAGCAUGGAAAUUAUCAGAGAACCAGAAUAUUCAAGGUUUAUCUUUCCUGUUUUUGUCUUAAAUCACAACUAUGUGUUAAAUAAUUUGUAUGACCUAUUUCAGUGGCAGUAGGUUAAAUAAAAUUCUGUUUGUAUCUCC
rnacentral:lncRNA from 1 species